rnacentral:rRNA from 1 species
GACGGAGGGGGCAAGCGUUGUCCGGAAUUACUGGGCGUAAAGGGCGCGUAGGCGGCUUCUUAAGUCGGUUGUGAAAGCCCCGGGCUCAACCCGGGGAGGCCAGCCGAUACUGGGGGGCUUGAGUGCAGGAGAGGGAAGCGGAACUGCCGGUGUAGCGGUGGAAUGCGUAGAUAUCGGCAGGAACACCCGCGGCGAAGGCGGCUUCCUGGACUGCUACUGACGCUGAGGCGCGAAAGCCAGGGGAG